rnacentral:tRNA from 1 species
GGGGUUGUAGCCUAGUGGUUAGAGCGUCGGAUUCAGAACUUGAAGGUCGGGGGUUCGAUUCCCGAUCCCA